GGGCCGUAGCUCAGUUGGGAGAGCGCCUGCAUGGCAUGCAGGAGGUGGUCGGUUCAAGCCCGAUCGGCUCCA
rnacentral:tRNA from 1 species